rnacentral:rRNA from 1 species
CAGUCGCCGCGGGAAUACGUAGGUGGCAAGCGUUGUCCGGAAUUAUUGGGCGUAAAGGGCUCGCAGGCGGUUUCUUAAGUCUGAUGUGAAAGCCCCCGGCUCAACCGGGGAGGGUCAUUGGAAACUGGGAAACUUGAGUGCAGAAGAGGAGAGUGGAAUUCCACGUGUAGCGGUGAAAUGCGUAGAGAUGUGGAGGAACACCAGUGGCGAAGGCGACUCUCUGGUCUGUAACUGACGCUGAGGAGCGAAAGCGUGGGGAGCGAACAGGAUUAGAGACCCCCGUAGUCCCUGUCUCUUAUAA